ACAUUGGUUCAGUGCUAGAAUUUUUGCCUUCUAUGCAGGAGACCCUGGUUCGAUUUCUGGCCAGUGUA
rnacentral:tRNA from 1 species